GCGCACCAGUCGAGAAACCUCCGCAAUACACGAAAGUGUGACGGGCCAUCCCGAGUGCCGUCCGCUGAGGACGGCUUUUCCCCAGUGUACAUAGCUGGGGGAAUAAGGAGAGGGCAAGCCUGGUGUCAGCCGCCGCGGUAAUACCAGCUCUCCGAGUGGUGGGGACGCUUAUUGGGCCUAAAGCAUCCGUAGCCGGCUGGGCAAGUCCUCCGUUAAAUCCAACGAUUCAAUCGUUGGGCUGCGGGGGAUACUGUCCAGCUUGGGGGCGGGAGAGGCCGACGGUAUUCCCGGGGUAGGGGUGAAAUCCUAUAAUCCCGGGAGGACCACCAGUGGCGAAGGCUGUCGGCUAGAACGCGCCCGACGGUGAGGGAUGAAAAGCUGGGGGAGCGGAACCGGAUUAGAUACCCCGUAGU
rnacentral:rRNA from 1 species